rnacentral:rRNA from 1 species
GAUGAACGCUGGCGGCGUGCCUAAUACAUGCAAGUCGAGCGAACAGAUGAGGAGCUUGCUCCUCUGACGUUAGCGGCGGACGGGUGAGUAACACGUGGAUAACCUACCUAUAAGACUGGGAUAACUUCGGGAAACCGGAGCUAAUACCGGAUAAUAUAUUGAACCGCAUGGUUCAAUAGUGAAAGACGGUUUUGCUGUCACUUAUAGAUGGAUCCGCGCCGCAUUAGCUAGUUGGUAAGGUAACGGCUUACCAAGGCAACGAUGCGUAGCCGACCUGAGAGGGUGAUCGGCCACACUGGAACUGAGACACGGUCCAGACUCCUACGGGAGGCAGCAGUAGGGAAUCUUCCGCAAUGGGCGAAAGCCUGACGGAGCAACGCCGCGUGAGUGAUGAAGGUCUUCGGAUCGUAAAACUCUGUUAUUAGGGAAGAACAAAUGUGUAAGUAACUAUGGACGUCUUGACGGUACCUAAUCAGAAAGCCACGGCUAACUACGUG